AAUCAACGCUGGCGGCGUGCCUCAGACAUGCAAGUCGAACGAUUAAAGCUCCCUUCGGGGAGUGCAUAAAGUGGCGCACGGGUGAGUAACACGCAAGUAAUCUACCCUCGAGUGGGGAAUAACGUCCGGAAACGGACGCUAAUACCGCAUAAUGCAGCGGCACCGCAAGGUGACAGUUGUUAAAGAUUUAUCGCUUGAGGAGGAGCUUGCGGCAGAUUAGCUAGUUGGUAAGGUAAUGGCUUACCAAGGCCGCGAUCUGUAACCGGUCUAAGAGGACGGUCGGUAACACUGACACUGAAUAGCGGGUCAGACUCCGACGGGAGGCAGCAGUCGGGAAUUUUGGGCAAUGGGCGAAAGCCUGACCCAGCAACGCCGCGUGAAGGAUGAAGUAUUUCGGUAUGUAAACUUCGAAAGAAUGGGAAGAAUAAAUGACGGUACCAUUUAUAAGCUCCGGCUAACUACGUGCCAGCAGCCGCCGUAAUAC
rnacentral:rRNA from 1 species